GACGAACGCUGGCGGCGUGCUUAACACAUGCAAGUCGAACGAAGUGGCGAACGGGUGAGUAACGCGUAAUCAAUCUGCUCUUCAGUGGGGGACAACAGUUGGAAACGAUUGCUAAUACCGCAUACUCAAGGAGGGGAUUUCGUCUGAUUGGCUAGUUGGAGGGGUAACGGCCCACCAAGGCGAUGAUCAGUAGCCGGGCGGAGAGGAUGAACGGCCACAUUGGGACUGAGACACGGCCCAGACUCCUACGGGAGGCAGCAGUGGGGAAUUUUGGACAAUGGGCGCAAGCCUGAUCCAGCCAUGCCGCGUGUCUGAAGAAGGCCUUCGGGUUGUAAAGGACUUUUGUCAGGGAAGCGGUACCUGAAGAAUAAGCACCGGCUAACUACGUGCCAGCAGCCGCGGUAAUUC
rnacentral:rRNA from 1 species